AAGAGAGGAAGCAUGCCGUCUUUGGCUUCCUUGAUUAGCUUAGGAAGCUUUAGCGUCACUAGUUCAUGGGAAUCUUCUCCUUCUUCUUAUUCUUAUUCUUCAUCUUCACUUGUUCGGAGAGUUUCUUUAUCUAAACGGAGUUUUAGGAGUGCCAAGAGAUGGCACUGUGUUUGUAAAUACUCUGUCACCACCACAGAUUUCAUUGCUGACCAAGGCAAUGCCGUGUCGCUUGGUCUAAAUGUAUUAUUAGAAUCAA
rnacentral:misc_RNA from 1 species